GGAGAGGAAAUAAAAGCGUCUCACUGUUACUAAGGAGACGCUCCUACAGUUGAAUUUUGGUAGACGGUUGAUGAGGGAGGCGUGCCAUGUGCUGAUGUUGUUACCUGGAGGGGAUCACUUCUAGUUCAGUCCAGGCAGUCAUAGAGGGCACUAAGGGCAGUGGAAACAGCAGGUUGGCUGUUCUGUCCCGGCUUAUCUGUACAUGUAUAAAUCAGACCGCCAUCUUUUGAUGACCGGGACGCCAGGCUGCCGCAGAACUUCUUAGUGAGGAAAAUUCUCCUCUACAUGCACAUCGCAGUGUUGUGCCUGCAGCAUAACACAGCAAGACACGUGGACGCUGUCACGUGAUCGGGCCGAAACACGGAAGUAAUAGCAUCUAUUGCUGCACGUCAACGCUGUAUGUCAGAAGGGAAGACGUUAACCCCACUUAUGCAAUCGUUUAUUGGAGGGUCUGAUAGAUGGAGACUGCUUUGUUUCCAUGGUAACCAGCGCCCUGUCUUACUGGAUGGAUGGAUGGAAUCCUUCUACAUUAAGCUUGGGGUUGUUCCCACUGAAACCAUCAGAAUGGACAUCACACAUUAGCUGACAAGUGGAUGCAUUUGAUUUACUUAGGGUCUGAACUGGGUAUUAUUUUUUGCACUUUGUUAUUAUGUUUAUGUAGGUUACCCACAAAUAAAAAUAAAAUAAAAAUAAUUUCAUGGUGUAUUUGACUUUUGUGUAACUUGUUUACAAAAGCUGGAAAAGAUUGACAUAGCCAAAGAUAAAUGCCUGUUUCGAUCUUUGUCUAGUGUUCUUCUGUAAGAAAAAAUUAUUUGGAAUAUUUAUCGAAUAAAGAAAA